rnacentral:rRNA from 1 species
AGAGUUUGAUCCUGGCUCAGAUCGAACGCUGGCGGCAUGGCUAAAACAUGCAAGUCGAACGAGAAGCCACUUCGGUGGUGGACAGUGGCGAAAGGGCGAGUAAUGUGUAUCUAACGUACCCCUGAGUUUGGGAUAGCAGUGGGAAACCGCUGGUAACACCGAAUGACAUCGGUAGACCGCAUGGUUGUCCGAUCAAAGUUUACGCUCAGGGAGCGGGAUACAUCCUAUCAGCUUGUUGGUGAGGUAAAGGCUCACCAAGGCUAAGACGGGUAGCGGGUGUGAGAGCAUGACCCGCCGCAUCGGGACUGAGACACUGCCCGGACUCCUACGGGAGGCUGCAGUAACGAAUAUUCCGCAAUGCACGAAAGUGUGACGGAGCAAUGCCGCGUGCAGGAUGAAUCCCCUUGGGGUGUAAACUGCUGUCAGGGUCUAGGAAGUUCUGACCAGACCCAGAGGAAGGACCGGCUAACUCUGUGCCAGCAGCCGCGGUAAUACAGAGGGUCCAAGCGUUAAUCGGAAUCACUGGGCUUAAAGCGUACGCAGGCGGAUGGGCAAGUAUCUUGUGAAAUCCCACGGCUCAACCGUGGAAUUGCUCGGCAAACUGCCAAUCUUGAGCCCGUCAGGGGUCGUCAGAACUCUAGGUGGAGCGGUGAAAUGCGUAGAUAUCUAGAGGAACGCCAAAAGGGAAGCCAGACGACUGGGACAUUGCUGACGCUCAGGGACGAAAGCGUGGGUAGCGAACGGGAUUAGAUACCCCGGUAGUCCACGCCCUAAACGAUGUGUACUCGGUAGCGGAGGUUUUGACGCCAUCGCUGCCGAAGCCAAAAGUGUUAAGUACACCACCUGGGGAGUACGGUCGCAAGGCUAAAACUCAAAAGGAAUUGACGGGGGCUCACACAAGCGGUGGAGCAUGUGGCUUAAUUCGAAGCAACGCGAAGAACCUUAUCCAGGGUUUGACAUGUAUGGAUUAGCUCUAAGAAACUAGAGUGACGCGCUUGCGUGGAACAUACACAGGUGCUGCAUGGCUGUCGUCAGCUCGUGCUGUGAAGUGUCGGGUUAAGUCCCUUAACGAGCGAAACCCCUAUCACUAGUUGCCAUCAGGUUAUGCUGGGGACUCUAGUGAGACUGCCGGCGUUAAGCCGGAGGAAGGUGGGGAUGACGUCAAGUCCUCAUGGCCUUUAUGCCCUGGGCUGCACACGUGCUACAAUGGUAUCGACAGAGCGAAGCAAGACCGCGAGGUGGAGCAAAUCGCACAAACGAUGCCUCAGUUCGGAUUGUAGUCUGCAACUCGACUACAUGAAGUUGGAAUCGCUAGUAAUCGCGUAUCAGCAACGACGCGGUGAAUAAGUUCCUGAGCCUUGUACACACCGCCCGUCACGUCAUGGGAGCCGGGAGCACCCGAAGUAGCCACAACUCAGUGGUUCCUACGGUGAGCUCGGUGACUGGGACGAAGUCGUAACAAGGUAGCCGUAGGGGAACCUGCGGCUGGAUCACCUCCUU